UAUUUUUGCAGUUUUACAUUUAUAUUAUGGGUAUAUGAUCUUCAGCUGUAAAUUGUUUUCAAAUUUUUUGUAAUAAGAAUGAAGUUUGUCCGUUAGUUUUUUUCCAUAUCUGAAUUAAUCAGUGUUGGCCGCGUACUAGUUGUCAUAUAUAAAUUUUAGUACUUCUUAUGAUGACAAUACAGCAGUUUACUCAAGGAAUGGAGACGCAUGGAUUCACUUAUCUCACACGUGGGAAAGUAUCAACAUCCUACAUUAAUGGACUGGAGGAGGUCGAGAAUAUUGCAGAAGUGCAUCAAAAAGAUGGUGUCAUGAAACCCUGACCAUUACAUAAAAUGGCAGUACGGCAGUUCACUUAAGGAAUUCUGACGCAUGGAUUCACUUAUCUCACACGUGGGAAAGUAUCAACAUCCUAUGUUGCAAAUGGACUAGAAGAUGCUGAGAAUAAUACGUGUUAUAUGCAAUAUGGCACUACGGCAGAUCACACAAGGCAUGCUGAGACAUGGAUUCACAUU
rnacentral:lncRNA from 1 species